CUCUCUUCCUCUCUCUCCCCAUCACAAUGUGACGAGACAGCUGGAAGAUGGCCAUCUACAAGCCAGAAAGUGUCCUUACCAGAACCUGACCCUGCUGGCACCCUGGUCUCAGACUUCAAGACUCCAGAACUAGAUGUUUACUAAGAUCAGCUCCCAAGAGUGUCCGGGACAUCCUCCAGAUAAUCUCUUUCAACUGUAACAUCCAGAAGAUGGGUGGAUGGUAAAGAGAAGCUCUAGAUGACUAAGAAAGCACAUAACUUCUAGAAGUUUGCAGGUUCAGAUCCCAGGCGUGGACCUAACAUGGCUCAUCAAGGCUUGCUGUGGUGGCAUCCCACAUGAAAUAGAGCAAGAUUGGCAGAGAUGUUAGCUCAGGGCUUAUCUUCCGCAGAAGAAGGAAG
rnacentral:lncRNA from 1 species